rfam:Oryza glaberrima chromosome 8 Oglab08_0021_25, whole genome shotgun sequence.
AAAAAAUCAAUUUCUGAGCUUACGUGUCUAACGUUUAACCGUCAGUCUUAUUUAAAAAAAAUUAUGAAAACUUUUUAAAAAAUAAGUCACGCGUAAAAUAUUAUUCAUAUUUUAUCAUUUAACAAUAAUAAAAAUACUUAUCAUAUAAAAGUUUCAUAUAAGACAGAUGCUUAAACGUUAAGACACGAAAAAUCAAGAAUCCAGUAUUU